CGAAUGCUGACAUAAGUAACGAUAAAGCGGGUGAAAAGCCCGCUCGCCGGAAGACCAAGGGUUCCUGUCCAACGUUAAUCGGGGCAGGGUGAGUCGACCCCUAAGGCGAGGCCGAAAGGCGUAGUCGAUGGGAAACAGGUUAAUAUUCCUGUACUUGGUGUUACUGCGAAGGGGGGACGGAGAAGGCUAUGUUGGCCGGGCGACGGUUGUCCCGGUUUAAGCGUGUAGGCUGGU
rnacentral:rRNA from 1 species